GCCUGGUGGUUCCUUGAGUCAGCUAACAAGUGCUGAACUUUGGGUUUUUGUUAACAGGCAAAUAUUGAUUCUGCGAUUUUAUGCAUGGAAGCUGCCACUUUAGCAUCCUUCCAUAGCCCGGUCGCAGAUACACUG